AGUGAUUAACUUCAUUUCGAUAAAGGAAGAAGAUCUAUAUGAAAUUGACAUUCCAUUGAGAUUUACAUCUGCUGCUAGCACUAGAAUUCAUGGGCUGGCUUGCUGGUUUGAUGUACUUUUUAAUGGAAGCACUGUACCGAGGUG